rnacentral:rRNA from 1 species
CUCGUAGGCGGUUCGUCGCGUCCGGUGUGAAAGUCCAUCGCUUAACGGUGGAUCCGCGCCGGGUACGGGCGGGCUUGAGUGCGGUAGGGGAGACUGGAAUUCCCGGUGUAACGGUGGAAUGUGUAGAUAUCGGGAAGAACACCAAUGGCGAAGGCAGAUCUCUGGGCCGUUACUGACGCUGAGACGCGAAAGCGUGGGGAGCAAACA